AGCAGCCGCGGUAAUUCCAGCUCCAAUAGCGUAUAUUAAAGUUGCUGCAGUUAAAAAGCUCGUAGUUGAAUUUCGGGACCAUCAUGUCGGUCGUGCCUCGGUACGUACUGGCAUUGUUGGUUUCUACCUUCUGACGAACCAUGAUGUCAUUUAUUUGGUGUCGUGGAAAAUCAGGACUGUUACUUUGAAAAAAUUAGAGUGUUUAAAGCAGGCUCACGCUUGAAUACAUUAGCAUGGAAUAAUGAAAUAGGACGUUUGAUUCUAUUUUGUUGGUUUCUAGGAUCGACGUAAUGAUUAAUAGGGAUAGUUGGGGGCAUUAGUAUUCAAUUGUCAGAGGUGAAAUUCUUGGAUUUAUUGAAGACUAACUACUGCGAAAGCAUUUGCCAAGGAUGUUUUCAUUAAUCAAGAACGAAAGUUAGGGGAUCGAAGACGAUCAGAUACCGUCGUAGUCUUAACCAUAAACUAUGCCGACUAGGGAUCGGAUGAUGUUAAUUUUUUCAAUGACUCAUUCGGCGCCUUA
rnacentral:rRNA from 1 species